GGGAAUCUACCUUAGUAGUACGGAAUAAUUGUUGGAAACGGCAACUAAUACCGUAUACGCCCUACGGGGGAAAAAUUUAUUGCUAUUAGAUGAGCCUAUAUUAGAUUAGCUAGUUGGUGGAGUAAUAGCCUACCAAGGCAAUGAUCUAUAGCUGAUCUGAGAGGAUGAUCAGCCACACUGGAACUGAGAUACGGUCCAGACUCCUACGGGAGGCAGCAGUGGGGAAUAUUGGACAAUGGGCGAAAGCCUGAUCCAGCCAUGCCGCAUGAGUGAAGAAGGCCUUUGGGUUGUAAAGCUCUUUUAGUGAGGAAGAUAAUGACGGUACUCACAGGAGAAGUCCUGGCUAACUCCGUGCCAGCAGCCGCGGUAAUACGGAGAGGGCUAGCGUUAUUCGGAAUUAUUGGGCGUAAAGGGCGCGUAGGCUGGUUAGUAAGUUAAAAGUGAAAUCCCGAGGCUUAACCUUGGAACUGCUUUUAAAACUGCUAACCUAGAGAUUGAAAGAGGAUAGAGGAAUUCCUAGUGUAGAGGUGAAAUUCGUAAAUAUUAGGAGGAACACCAGUGGCGAAGGCGUCUAUCUGGUUCAAAUCUGACGCUGAGGCGCGAAGGCGUGGGGAGCAAACAGGAUUAGAUACCCUGGUAGUCCACGCUGUAAACGAUGAAUGUUAAAUAUGGGAAGUUUACUUUCUGUAUUACAGCUAACGCGUUAAACAUUCCGCCUGGGGACUACGGUCGCAAGAUU
rnacentral:rRNA from 1 species